UGGGGGGAAACACAAACAUUCAGUUCAUAACAGCUGGUGUUUGCCUUUGCUUGGGAGGGUAACCAAGAGGUGGGUACUUCCAGUAAGGGAAGUGACCUGAGUUGCUAAAAGAGCCCAGUUGGAAAGCAGAGGAGUCAGAAGAUGUGCUGGACGCCCCAUUCCAUCCUUUGAAUCCUUGGCCAUUUUGGCCCUAAUGUUCUUCAAGGAAAGAAUGUUACUGUCCAGGACCAGAUGGACAUAGGUACCGAAGCUCCAUGUUACUGGGUUGAGAGACGAAAGCAAGGACUGAACUGAACCCAUUUGAGAGCUCAAAGACUCCUAAAAGGGAAACUCACCAACACAGGUCAAGAAAGAAAGAAUUAUUCUAUUUAUGUCUUCCUUAGCUUAGAAAGAGGGAAAAUGCUAAAGAGAUGGGGCUUUGCUGGUUCGGAUGGGCGCUUCAUGACUUCCAAAGUUAACAGAUCUAGGAGACCAGCAAGACAGUGGACUCGGAAACUAGACUGCCUGGGUUCACAUCAUGACUCUUGUUCACCAGCUGUGUGACUUCCAGCAAGUUCCUUCACCUCUCUGAGAUUUCCUAACCAGAAAAUGGAGAUAAUAACAGU